rnacentral:tRNA from 1 species
CAGAGAAUAGUUUAAUUAAAAUAUCAGCUUUGGGAGUUGAUGAUAGAGGUUUGAUUCCUUUUUCUCUGA